rnacentral:tRNA from 1 species
AAGUUAGUAGUGCAGUAGACUGUGUCUGACUGUUGAUCAGGAGACUGAAGGUUCGACUCCUUCCUGGCUCA